UUAACUCAUCAAUUUUUCAGAGGAUGUUCAAUGACAAUUUCUAAAUCUUUGGCGGCCAGCCAUGGUAACCAAUAUUCUCUCGAAACUUGUGGUAUUUAGUUACUCUCAAUGGUCGUUGAAAGGGAGAUUCAAAACUGCAAAUUUUUUAAUACUCAAGCUAAGAGAUUUGAGUUUGGAAUGAAAAGUGAGAUUUUCGGCCCAAGCUACCUGGUUGGGAUCUUAAAUUUGUCAAGCCAGUAGCAGGGGCUUUGCUAUAUUGAAGAAUCUGUUGCAGUUUUUUAGCUAAUCAUAAUUUGAG
rnacentral:misc_RNA from 1 species